rnacentral:rRNA from 1 species
UACGGGGGGGAGCAAGCGUUGUUCGGAUUUACUGGGCGUAAAGGGCGCGUAGGCGGCGUGUUAAGUCACUUGUGAAAUCUCUAAGCUUAACUUAGAACGGUCAAGUGAUACUGAUGUGCUAGAGUGCAGAAGGGGCAACCGGAAUUCUUGGUGUAGCGGUGAAAUGCGUAGAUAUCAAGAGGAACACCUGAGGUGAAGACGGGUUGCUGGGCUGACACUGACGCUGAGGCGCGAAAGCUAGGGUAGCAAACGGG